rnacentral:ribozyme from 13 species
GUUCCACAAAAGAAGAGAGAGAAGAGAGAGAGAGAGCUUCUUGUUGACAAUUUCCAUUUCCCUCUUCUCUCUCUUCUCUCUCUUUUCUUUCUUCUCUUUCCCAAUCUCUCUCUUGUUCUCUCUCUUCAUUUCUGACAAUGGCAAUUCCAUUGGUUUGUACUUGCAAUAAAUGAAGUAAUAAACUUUCAUAUGAGAACUCAUACCAUUUUUCUUUCUCUUUC